AGAGUGUGGUUGCCAUGGUGGUUGUGGUAGGAGACUGUGGUGGCCGGGGGACUGCUGCCGGCCACGUGGUUGCUGGGCAGGUGUGGGGUCAGGCUGUGGAUCCCGGCAGCUCAUCCUGGCGUCAUGAGCCAGGGGUAGGGGCUGAGCUAUGGCUCCCCUGCCGGUCAGUGCCCACCAGGGGCACGGUGACCUCCUAACUGCACCCCUGCCCCUUGGCCCCCAGGACACCCCUCGUGUUUACAAUUCACGGUGAACAUGACGGCAGCCGUGCGGACCUACCGCUGGCAGUGCAUCGAGUGCAAAUCCUGCAGCCUGUGCGGAACCUCCGAGAACGACGACCAGCUGCUGUUUUGUGAUGACUGCGAUCGGGGUUACCACAUGUACUGCCUGAGUCCCCCCAUGGCGGAGCCCCCGGAAGGGAGCUGGAGCUGUCACCUCUGUCUCCGGCACCUGAAGGAAAAGGCUUCUGCUUACAUCACC
rnacentral:lncRNA from 1 species